UGACUUAGUGGCGGACGGGUGAGUAACGCGUGAGGAACCUGCCUUUCAGUGGGGGACAACAGUUGGAAACGACUGCUAAUACCGCAUAAUGUGUUUUGGGGGCAUCCCCGGAACACCAAAGAUUUAUUGCUGAAAGAUGGCCUCGCGUCUGAUUAGAUAGUUGGUGGGGUAACGGCCUACCAAGUCGACGAUCAGUAGCCGGACUGAGAGGUUGAACGGCCACAUUGGGACUGAGAUACGGCCCAGACUCCUACGGGAGGCAGCAGUGGGGAAUAUUGGGCAAUGGGGGAAACCCUGACCCAGCAACGCCGCGUGAAGGAAGAAGGCUUUCGGGUUGUAAACUUCUUUUACCAGGGACGAAGGACGUGACGGUACCUGGAGAAAAAGCCACGGCUAACUACGUGCCAGCAGCCGCGGUAAUACGUAGGUGGCAAGCGUUGUCCGGAUUUACUGGGUGUAAAGGGCGUGUAGGCGGGAGAGCAAGUCAGAAGUGAAAUCUAUGGGCUUAACCCAUAAACUGCUUUUGAAACUGUUCUUCUUGAGUAUCGGAGAGGCAGGCGGAAUUCCUAGUGUAGCGGUGAAAUGCGUAGAUAUUAGGAGGAACACCAGUGGCGAAGGCGGCCUGCUGGACGACAACUGACGCUGAGGAGCGAAAGCGUGGGGAGCAAACAGGAUUAGAUACCCUGGUAGUCCACGCAGUAAACGAUGACUACUAGCUUUCCGGGAUGAUUGAGUCCUGGGAGGCACAGCGAAAGCGUUAAGUAGUCCACCUGGGGAGUACGCCGGCAACGGUGAAACUCAAAGGAAUUGACGGGGGCCCGCACAAGCGGAGGAACAUGUGGUUUAAUUCGAUGAUACGCGAGGAACCUUACCCGGGCUCGAACGGCGCCUGAACCACCCAGAGACGGGUGGGUCUUCGGACAGGUGCCGAGGUGCUGCAUGGUUGUCGUCAGCUCGUGCCGUGAGGUGUCGGCUCAAGUGCCAUAACGAGCGCAACCCCUGCCGCCAGUUGCCAUCAGGUGAAGCUGGGCACUCUGGCGGGACUGCCACCGCAAGGUGUGAGGAGGGGGGGGAUGACGUCAAACCAGCACGGCCCUUACGUCCGGGGCGACACACGUGUUUCAAUGGCGGCCACAGAGGGAAGCUACCCGGCGACGGGAUGCGGAUCUCGAAAAGCCGUCCCAGUUCGGACUGGAGUCUGCAACCCGACUCCACGAAGUUGGAUUCGCUAGUAAUCGCGCAUCAGCCAUGGCGCGGUGAAUACGUUCCCGGGCCUUGCACUCACCGCCCGUCA
rnacentral:rRNA from 1 species